GUGGGGUGGUGGCCUACCAAGGCGACGACGGGUAGCCGGCCUGAGAGGGUGAUCGGCCACAUUGGGACUGAGAUACGGCCCAGACUCCUACGGGAGGCAGCAGUGGGGAAUAUUGCACAAUGGGCGGAAGCCUGAUGCAGCGACGCCGCGUGAGGGAUGACGGCCUUCGGGUUGUAAAUCUCUUUCAGCAGGGACGAAGCGUAAGUGACAGUACCUGCAGAAGAAGCACCGGCUAACUAUGUGCCAGCAGCCGCGGUAAUACGUAGGGUGCGAGCGUUGUCCGGAAUUACUGGGCGUAAAGAGCCCGUAGGCGGUUUGUCACGUCGUCUGUGAAAUCCUAGGGCUUAACCCUGGACGUGCAGGCGAUACGGGCUGACUUGAGUACUACAGGGGAGACUGGAAUUUCUGGUGUAGCGGUGGAAUGCACAGAUAUCAGGAAGAACACCGAUGGCGAAGGCAGGUCUCUAGGUAGCAACUGACGCUGAGGAGCGAAAGCAUGGGUAGCGAACAGGAUUAGAUACCCUGGUAGUCCAUGUCGUAAACGGUGGGCGCUAGGUGUGGGGCUCCUUCCACGGGCUCCGCGCCGUAGCUAACGCAUUAAGCG
rnacentral:rRNA from 1 species